rnacentral:rRNA from 3 species
AAAUUGAAGAGUUUGAUCAUGGCUCAGAUUGAACGCUGGCGGCAGGCCUAACACAUGCAAGUCGAACGGUAACAGGAAGCAGCUUGCUGCUUUGCUGACGAGUGGCGGACGGGUGAGUAAUGUCUGGGAAACUGCCUGAUGGAGGGGGAUAACUACUGGAAACGGUGGCUAAUACCGCAUAACGUCGCAAGACCAAAGAGGGGGACCUUCGGGCCUCUUGCCAUCAGAUGUGCCCAGAUGGGAUUAGCUGGUUGGUGAGGUAACGGCUCACCAAGGCGACGAUCCCUAGCUGGUCUGAGAGGAUGAC